rnacentral:rRNA from 1 species
GACGGAGGGGGCUAGCGUUGCUCGGAAUCACUGGGCGUAAAGGGUGCGCAGGCGGCCGAGUGUGUUAGAUGUGAAAUCCCGAGGCUCAACCUCGGAACUGCGUCUGAAACUACUUGGCUAGAGUAUUGGAGAGGGUAACGGAAUUCACGGUGUAGUAGUGAAAUGCGUAGAUAUCGUGAGGAACACCAGAGGCGAAGGCGGUUACCUGGACAAUUACUGACGCUCAGGCACGAAAGCGUGGGGAGCAAAAGGG